rnacentral:rRNA from 1 species
GUGGACGCCAGUCUGCAUGGAGCCGACCUUGAAAUACCACCCUUUAAUGUUUGAUGUUCUAACGUGGACCCGUGAUCCGGGUUGCGGACAGUGUCUGGUGGGUAGUUUGACUGGGGCGGUCUCCUCCUAAAGAGUAACGGAGGAGCACGAAGGUUGGCUAAUCCUGGUCGGACAUCAGGAGGUUAGUGCAAUGGCAUAAGCCAGCUUGACUGCGAGCGUGACGGCGCGAGCAGGUGCGAAAGCAGGUCAUAGUGAUCCGGUGGUUCUGAAUGGAAGGGCCAUCGCUCAACGGAUAAAAGGUACUCCGGGGAUAACAGGCUGAUACCGCCCAAGAGUUCAUAUCGACGGCGGUGUUUGGCACCUCGAUGUCGGCUCAUCACAUCCUGGGGCUGAAGUAGGUCCCAAGGGUAUGGCUGUUCGCCAUUUAAAGUGGUACGCGAGCUGGGUUUAGAACGUCGUGAGACAGUUCGGUCCCUAUCUGCCGUGGGCGCUGGAGAACUGAGGGGGGCUGCUCCUAGUACGAGAGGACCGGAGUGGACGCAUCACUGGUGUUCGGGUUGUCAUGCCAAUGGCACUGCCCGGUAGCUAAAUGCGGAAGAGAUAAGUGCUGAAAGCAUCUAAGCACGAAACUUGCCCCGAGAUGAGUUCUCCCUGAGACUUAGAGUCUCCUGAAGGAACGUUGAAGACGACGACGUUGAUAGGCCGGGUGUGUAAGCGCAGCGAUGCGUUGAGCUAACCGGUACUAAUGAACCGUGAGG